rnacentral:rRNA from 1 species
CGGGGGGGGGGGCUUACACAUGCAGUCGAACGAUGAUGCCCAGCUUGCUGGGCGGAUUAGUGGCGAACGGGUGAGUAAUACGUGAGUAACCUGCCCUUGACUCUGGGAUAAGCCUGGGAAACUGGGUCUAAUACUGGAUACUACUUCCUGCCGCAUGGUGGGUGGUGGAAAGGGUUUUACUGGUUUUGGAUGGGCUCACGGCCUAUCAGCUUGUUGGUGGGGUAAUGGCUCACCAAGGCGACGACGGGUAGCCGGCCUGAGAGGGUGACCGGCCACACUGGGACUGAGACACGGCCCAGACUCCUACGGGAGGCAGCAGUGGGGAAUAUUGCACAAUGGGCGGAAGCCUGAUGCAGCGACGCCGCGUGAGGGAUGACGGCCUUCGGGUUGUAAACCUCUUUCAGUAGGGAAGAAGCGAAAGUGACGGUACCUGCAGAAGAAGCGCCGGCUAACUACGUGCCAGCAGCCGCGGUAAUACGUAGGGCGCAAGCGUUGUCCGGAAUUAUUGGGCGUAAAGAGCUCGUAGGCGGUUUGUCGCGUCUGCUGUGAAAGCCCGGGGCUCAACCCCGGGUCUGCAGUGGGUACGGGCAGACUAGAGUGCAGUAGGGGAGACUGGAAUUCCUGGUGUAGCGGUGAAAUGCGCAGAUAUCAGGAGGAACACCGAUGGCGAAGGCAGGUCUCUGGGCUGUUACUGACGCUGAGGAGCGAAAGCAUGGGGAGCGAACAGGAUUAGAUACCCUGGUAGUCCAUGCCGUAAACGUUGGGCACUAGGUGUGGGGGACAUUCCACGUUUUCCGCGCCGUAGCUAACGCAUUAAGUGCCCCGCCUGGGGAGUACGGCCGCAAGGCUAAAACUCAAAGGAAUUGACGGGGGCCCGCACAAGCGGCGGAGCAUGCGGAUUAAUUCGAUGCAACGCGAAGAACCUUACCAAGGCUUGACAUUCACCGGACCGCCUCAGAGAUGGGGUUUCCCUUCGGGGCUGGUGGACAGGUGGUGCAUGGUUGUCGUCAGCUCGUGUCGUGAGAUGUUGGGUUAAGUCCCGCAACGAGCGCAACCCUCGUUCUAUGUUGCCAGCACGUGAUGGUGGGGACUCAUAGGAGACUGCCGGGGUCAACUCGGAGGAAGGUGGGGAUGACGUCAAAUCAUCAUGCCCCUUAUGUCUUGGGCUUCACGCAUGCUACAAUGGCCGGUACAAAGGGUUGCGAUACUGUGAGGUGGAGCUAAUCCCAAAAAGCCGGUCUCAGUUCGGAUUGAGGUCUGCAACUCGACCUCAUGAAGUCGGAGUCGCUAGUAAUCGCAGAUCAGCAACGCUGCGGUGAAUACGUUCCCGGGCCUUGUACACACCGCCCGUCAAGUCACGAAAGUUGGUAACACCCGAAGCCGGUGGCCUAACCCCUUGUGGGAGGGAGCCGUCGAAAGGGGG